GAUUGGCUCCUUUCAAUUAGUAAUAUGCAUUUAAGGUUCCUUCGUGCCUUUUCACGCUUGAUAGCUCAUUGCUCUUUAGCACUGAAUAACAUUCAAUUGUAUGGAUGCACCAUAGUUUAUUUAUCCAUUCAUCUACUGAAAGACAUUUUGUAAUACCAAUUUUUCACACUUGUCAAGAGCAGGGUGGCCAAAUCUUCAUAACCUCAGCACCUAGCAGAGUGCCUAGUACACAGCUGAUCCUCAAUAAAGUCUUGUAAUGAAUGGACGAAUAAACUAAGAAGUGAACGGGUAGUAUACCACUGAUCUCUGCAACUCCUUGUGUUGAAAGCUGAAUGUAAUCUCUCCUUCUAAUCCCUCCUGCCAGCAUCUCCCAAAUGAUCCAGAUACUCUUCUUAGAUUUUCUGUCUUGUAGAAUAUCACCUGCAACAAAAAUCUGAAGCUACCCUGGGUUCUUCUUUCUCCUUCGCCUCCCAGAUCCAACUACUCCCCAGGUUCUAUUGAUUUUUACCCUUGAGUGUCUUCCAAAUGUCCACCACUGAAGCUCACAUCUUAUUCAUUUCUCACCUGGAUUAUUUUAACAGCCCCCCCCACCCCCGCCUCAUUCUCACUCCCGCCAGGGCACUCUUCACACUAGCUACCUGAGUGGUCUUUCUAAAAUGUCCCCUCUCCUACUUAAAAUUCUGCAAUGAGCCCCCAUGCCUUUGGGAUUACAAUGGAACGCCUUAUGAAGACAUUUCAAAGCUACUCAUGAGCAGUCCUCGAGACGGCGUAUGCAAAGCUCUCAGCACAGUGCCUGAAACAAGAAAAGCACAGAGACAUGAUUGGACUGACGGGUGGAGGCUGCAGAGAGGCGAGUUUCAUUUCCAUUGAAAGGAGACAUGUCUAAUAGACGGAGGCACCAAAGAAUCAGAAGGUCCUUCUCAUGAAAAAUUCCCGGAGAGGAAGGAGAGACCACCACCACCCUUCUCUGGUCAGACCCCUCCUGCGCUGUAGAGGGAGGCUCCGCUUGGCCUCCUCGGCCUCUCUCUGGGGCAGCCCAGCCUGCUGUGCCCGGGUCCCAGGGCUGGGGGUGGCCCAGGCAGUGCCUUGGCCAAGGGCUGGAGCUGGGAUUGCCUGUUGGCUGCUGGGAAGAUCCGGGACAGAAAUACAGACCACCAAGGGAAAGGAGAGGAGGAUGGUCGGAGUGUCUAGCCCAGCUGAGCCCGCGUCCAUCCAAGAGGUUGGCUUCCAGCGUGCAGAGCCUGGUUUGGCUCAAGUAGCCAAGGAGGCCAACAGUGACCAGACUAAUGAGAGUUGCGGAGUCCACAGACCAGCCACGCACACACACAGACUCCCCAGUGAGGAGCUUGGUUCUCUCUCUGGGGUGAGGGUUGAACCCCACAAUCCAGUCACCCAUCCCAGGCAAACCCCAGGCCUCCGGGGACCCCGAGGUGUGGGCUGAAGCAGGAGGGAAGCCGGCUGUGGACCCAGGCUGUUGUUUAUUCAUAACUGGCCGGGGGGUGGGAAUCUGAAGCUCUUGCUGCCCACCCCCCACUUCCAUUUUAAUGAAAUGAAGCCACCCCACAGCCCCCGCCCCCGAACCUUCCUCAGGUAAGAGUGAAAUCGAUUUUCCUUUUUAACUCGAAAGCAAGAUAAACACAUGGCACCCUUAGGGGCGGAGGGGAAGCACUUAAAAUAGCACAUCUCUGGGAGCAGGCUGCUGCACGCAGAGUUUGUCACAGACAAGGGCUGAAUGCAAAUCGCAGAGGCAGCAGCUGGGCCCCACCCACCCCCAGGGAGCAGGUGAGAGGCAGCACCUUCACCCCUGCACCCCCCGCCUCCUGCGGAGCCUGCAAGAGCAUCCGAAGGCCGCCAGGUUCUCACGGACUCUGACCUGGAAAUUGCUAUCUGGUCGUCCUCACCUGUGCUUGCAGCCGUGCAGGGAUGGGGGGCUUAUCACCUCUGGAGGUAGCCCCUGCAUCUCUCCUAUUAGAGACUCUUCCCUUACUGAUCCAACAUGGGCGUCCCAGCAGCGACCCCCGCUGAGGGAGGUCUGUCCAGAGUCCUGUGUCCCUCCCACUCACUAGCUCCCUGUGCGCCCCCCGCCCCGCCACCGCAUGGCUCUGCAGGGGGUGGAAAACCAAGGUCUUGCCCCCCUCCACAGUCUCCUCUUCUUGUCUGAGCCCCAGGACCCUCAGCCAUUUCUUGGAGGACCCUGUCCCCACACAGAGAGGUCCUCUGCACCCCUCAUUUGUCUUGGCUGGAGUUGGAGAAAAGCUUCACAUCUCCAGAGAGGAAGAAGAGGAGGAGGAGGGAACGGCUUGGGGCAGGAGGGAACUGAUGUCAACUGAACCGGACUCUAUGCCAGGGGCAACUCUUUUCUCCAAAAGUGUGCUGAGGACAGAGUGGGGUUGCCAAGGCGCAGCAAGUGCCCAAUGAGUCAGUGUGUCAGCCGUCACUUUGCCAACACUGCCCGAGACCGACUGUGCGCCUGGCCCUGUGUUGGAGCCAGCCUCGCCACUGCUCCUGCCCCAGGGAGUCCAGACCUGGCCGGGGAGGCCGACUGGGCAGCGCAGUGUCUGCCUGUGGAGUAGGUGGGGCUCACCCCUGCUCACCUCCCUUCGGUUGGCCUUGGGCUGUGCCAUGUGACUUGCUUCAAUCAGCAUCAAAUGUACAGAAGUAACAGUCUGCCAGUUCUAAAAGAAGCCUUUGCGAGGCGUUGCCUGCUUCCCCUUUCUCCUGCUGGGCGUCCAUCCUCCCCGUGAGCCAAGCCUGCCCAGAGGCUUGGAAUGAAGGGGAGUGGGGUGCACGGAAGCCAACCUCGAAACCUGGUUCCAGCCUAGGCCAUUUGAGGCCAACCAAGAUCAGUCAAGUCCGAGCCAAUCUACAGACUCUAAAAUGUGAAAUACAUAUUUGUUGUUGCAGGAUGCUGAGAUUUUUGGGAUUGUUUGUUAUGCAGCAUUAUUGUAGCAGAAACUGACCAAUACACUGGGCAUGGAGGACGUGGCCCAGGGAGAGCAGACAGAGUGAGGUGGGGAGACAGCCUCGCAUAUUCAGGACAGCAGCAUUAGAAGGGGGAAGGAACCCAGGUAGGAGGGAGACCAAAGCAUAGCCUGCAAGGGAGGCAUGAGGUGGGAAAACACCCAGGGGUGUUUUCGACCCACCCUUGGGCCAUGAGAGUGAGCUGCUGGGCUGCACACUGCCACGCUGGCCAGGGGCUUCUCAGGCUGUGACACUUGAGGAGAUGCAGUUAGGAAGGGGUCCAAAUGGUGGGACAUGUUUGAGCUUAUGCUCUGCCCCGAGAGGCGCCCUUUGCCGAGAAACAAAGGGCCUGAGGAAGACUCCUUCUGAACAUCUUGGAAGCUUGGAGAGGCAGAAUGGCAUCUAGAAAGAGGAGCUGGCAGAGUGCGGGGCUGCCUUCCUGCAGUGCCUGCAGCAGGCAAGUGGCCAAGGCCCAGCUGCAAAUGUCAGGGCCCGCUGGGGAGAUGUCUGCCACAUCUUACCGGGGCCCCUCAGAAAGAAGCCCCAGGACAGCUGGGUCCACAGGAUGGCCAUGCCUUUCUGUGGUGGCAGUUGGGGCCACCAGUCCUCUCGGCCAGCCUGUCUCAAGGCUGCUCUCUGGAGUCUGAGGCUGCUGGAGCCCUCCUGGAGUGACUUGGUCUCCAUGAGAUAAGCCUGAGCCCCCCACCCUGCAGCAGUAAUGUCCAUGGCUGGGCACCGGGGGGCUGCCCUCUGAGCAGGAUUCCGCCUGGUGAGCAUGCAGAACGAUGCCUCUUUUGCAUGUAAAACCCCUCUUUGUUCACGCGGUAGAAUAUUAUGCAGCCAUUUAACACGAAGCUGUCGAUCUAUAUUUAUUGACAUGCAAAGAUGUCCACAACAUAUUGUCGAGAGAAAAAAAUCAUUUACACAACAGCAUGUGGAAUCUGUUCCUGUUCAUUUAAAACCAUGCACAUAUGUGUUUACAAUCAGACAGAGGUGUCUGGAGAACGUUCACCAAAAUAGCACCAGUGGUUAUUCCUGGGGGAUAGGAUUUGGGGUGAUUUCUUAUUUUCUUCUUGCUUCCUUUCUGUGCCUGAACUUUUAUAAUAAUGAACAUGUAUUAUACUUUCCAAAAAAUUAUCGUAAUAUACUUUUCA